rnacentral:rRNA from 1 species
GUGGGGAAUAUUGCACAAUGGGGGAAACCCUGAUGCAGCGACGCCGCGUGAAGGAUGAAGUAUUUCGGUAUGUGAACUUCUAUCAGCAGGGAAGAAAAUGACGGUACCUGACUAAGAAGCCCCGGCUAACUACGUGCCAGCAGCCGCGGUAAUACGUAGGGGGCAAGCGUUAUCCGGAUUUACUGGGUGUAAAGGGAGCGUAGACGGUAUGGCAAGUCUGAUGUGAAAACCCGGGGCUCAACCCCGGGACUGCAUUGGAAACUGUCGGACUAGAGUGUCGGAGAGGCAAGUGGAAUUCCUAGUGUAGCGGUGAAAUGCGUAGAUAUUAGGAGGAACACCAGUGGCGAAGGCGGCUUGCUGGACGAUGACUGACGUUGAGGCUCGAAAGCGUGGGGAGCAAACAGG